rnacentral:rRNA from 1 species
AUACGUAGGGGGCAAGCGUUGUCCGGAUUUACUGGGUGUAAAGGGCGCGCAGGCGGUUUGGUAAGUCAGAUGUGAAAGCCCACGGCUCAACCGUGGAAGUGCAUUUGAAACUGUCAGACUUGAGUACUAGAGGGGAAAGUGGAAUUCCCGGUGUAGAGGUGAAAUUCGUAGAUAUCGGGAGGAAUACCGGUGGCGAAGGCGACUUUCUGGCUAGAUACUGACGCUGAGGCGCGAAAGCGUGGGGAGCAAACAGGAUUAGAAACCCCGGUAGUCC